GAGCGAUCAAGUGCCUUAAGAGCAUCUGGUGGAUGCCUUGGCGCUGAGAGGCGAUGAAGGACGUGGUACGCUGCGAUAAGCCUUGGGGAGCUGCGAACGAGCUUUGAUCCGAGGAUCUCCGAAUGGGGAAACCCACCUUCAGCCACCGUAUCGUAGGUUCGGCACGCCGAGCCUGCGCUACGCUGGUUUAGGAAGGUAUCAGGCCCUGAAUCCAUAGGGGUUUGAAGCGAACCCGGGGAACUGAAACAUCUCAGUACCCGGAGGAAAGGACAUCAACGAGACUCCGUCAGUAGUGGCGAGCGAACGCGGACCAGGCCAGCGCCUGGCAUGACGCUUACCGGAACGGCCUGGAAUGGCCGGCAGGAUGGGUGACAGCCCCGUACGGGACAAGCCAAUGCCAGGACACGAGUAAGGCGGGACACGUGAAAUCCUGUCUGAAGAUGGGGGGACCACCCUCCAAGCCUAAGUACUCCUCAGCGACCGAUAGCGAACCAGUACCGUGAGGGAAAGGUGAAAAGCACCCCGACGAGGGGAGUGAAACAGUUCCUGAAACCGGAUGCUUACAAACAGUGGGAGCCCAAGGUUCGUCCUGGGUGACCGCGUACCUUUUGUAUAAUGGGUCAGCGACUUAGAGUUACGAGCAAGCUUAAGCCGGUAGGCGAAGGCGCAGCGAAAGCGAGUCUGAACAGGGCGUUUCAGUUCGUGGCUCUAGGGCCUGUUGUCGCUUGAACUCUCUGCGAGGAUGAGCGUUUCCCCGCUUUGAGCGAGGAGACACGAUGCUGACGGACGCUCAGUGGGCCGAACUGGAACCGCUGGUGGAAGCCUGCCGGCCCAAAGGCAAGACGCCGCCCCAAGAGCUGCGCCGCACGAUCUCAGCCAUCCUCUGGCGGCAUCACAACGGCGCCUCUUGGAGGGCCAUUCCAGCCGAGUUGGGUCCCUGGUGGCAGGCCGCCCAGAUCUUCAUCCGCUGGGCGCGCGCCGGCGUCUGGGAGCGGCUGCUCGACCUCGUGCAGAGCCGCGGCGUCGCGCUGGGCAUGGUGUUUCUCGACGGCACGAACAUUCGAGCCCACCAGAAGGCGGCGGGCGCGGCCAAAAGGGGGGAUCUGGAGCCGAGCGAGACCAUCGUGAAGCUCUUGGCCGCUCGCGUGGCGGCUAUGGCACCAAGGCCUGCGUGAUCGCCGAUGGACGGGGCCGCCCCGUCGGUUUCCGCCUCGCGCCCGGUCAGGCGCAUGAACUGCCCCACGCCCUUCCGCUGCUCGAUCAACUGCCCGGGGUGCCGAAGUGGGUGGUGGCCGACCGUGGCUUCUCCAGCCACGGCUUUCGCGAGGCGAUCUGGACCGCCGGGGCCCGGCCCGCGAUCCCGACCAAGAGCAACGAGGCCCCGCUCGCCUGUCCUGACUGGAUCUACACCAAUCGCAACAUCGUCGAGCGACUGUGGGCGCGCCUCAAGGAAUGGCGGGCCGUUGCCACACGCUACGAGAAGACUGCCGUCAGCUUCAUGGGCGUCCUCUGCCUCGCCGCUACGCUCCUCUGGAUCAAGUGACGACAGGCCCUAGACCCGAAACCAGGUGAUCUAGCCAUGCGCAGGAUGAAGGUGCGGUAACACGCACUGGAGGUCCGAACCAGUGCCCGUUGAAAAGGUCUUGGAUGACGUGUGGUUAGGGGUGAAAGGCCAAUCAAACCUGGACAUAGCUGGUUCUCCGCGAAAGCUAUUUAGGUAGCGCCUCGAGCGUAUGCCAUGCGGGGUAGAGCACUGGAUGGGCUAGGGCCGCCCACAGCGGUACCGCACUCAACCAAACUCCGAAUACGCAUGAGCUUACUCGGGAGACACACGGCGGGUGCUAACGUCCGUCGUGAAGAGGGCAACAACCCUGACCGACAGCUAAGGCCCCCAAUUCGUGGCUAAGUGGGAAAGGAUGUGGGACUCCCAAAACAACCAGGAGGUUGGCUUAGAAGCAGCCAUCCUUUAAAGAAAGCGUAACAGCUCACUGGUCUAGUCAAGGGGUCCUGCGCCGAAAAUGUAACGGGGCUCAAGCCACGAGCCGAAGCUUCGGGUGUGACGCAAGUCACGCGGUAGCGGAGCGUUCCCUAGGCUGAUGAAGGGAUACUCGCGAGAGAUCCUGGAGGUAUGGGAAGUGCGAAUGCUGACAUGAGUAACGACAAAGAGUGUGAAAGACACUCUCGCCGAAAGUCCAAGGGUUCCUGCGUAAAGUUAAUCUGCGCAGGGUCAGCCGGCCCCUAAGGCGAGGCCGAAAGGCGUAGUCGAUGGGAAUGGGGCGAAUAUUCCCCAGCCAGUGGAUGGUGACGGAUGCCGUGUAUCGUCUGAGCUUAUCGGAUUGCUCGGGCGGUGAAGGGGUCCCAGGAAACAGCCUCCACAUCAGACCGUACCCGAAACCGACACAGGUGGACUGGUAGAGCAUACCAAGGCGCUUGAGAGAACGAUGCUGAAGGAACUCGGCAAUCUGCCUCCGUAACUUCGGGAUAAGGAGGCCCUGUCCUU
rnacentral:rRNA from 1 species